AUUAAAUGAUGAAACAAUCAUCCAUCUUUCCUAAAUAAAAACCACGUUUCUUUCAUAAACCCCAACCACUUUCUCUCUUUAAACCUCCCUCUUCACUUUCUCCCUCUCGCGACUCCCUGUUCUCUCUCACCGUUUUCUCUCUCCUCUCGACAAAACCACCAUCGAAGCUCAAAGAACCGCUGAUCAACCUCCUUCAUCGCCGGUGUAUUGUUGAUUUAAGCAAAAAAAAAAAAGCACGACAAAUUAGCAAACAAUCCAGAGAAUCCACAAGACUGCUUGUGCACGCUAUUUCUUUUGCAGGGAGGGUUGUUGCGGGUCAGUCUGGGGUGGGCAGUGGUUCUGCUAUGUUUGGUUGCUGCUAGAAGUUUUGCGUGUGUGGUGUUAAU